CCAAUAGCGUAUAUUAAAGUUGUUGCAGUUAAAAAGCUCGUAGUUGAAUUUCGGGAUCUAUCCAUUGGUCGGGCCUCACGGUCCGUACUGGUGUUAUGGAUUCCUACCUUCUGAAUAACCGGGAUGUCAUUAAUUUGGUGUGCCGGGGAAGCAGGACUGUUACCUUGAAAAAAUUAGAGUGCUUAAAGCAGGCUUUUGCCUGAAUACAUUAGCAUGGAAUAAUGAAAUAGGACGCAUGAUUCUAUUUUGUUGGUUUCUAGGAUCACCGUAAUGAUUAAUAGGGAUAGUUGGGGGCAUUAGUAUUCAAUUGUCAGAGGUGAAAUUCUUGGAUUUAUUGAAGACUAACUUCUGCGAAAGCAUUUGCCAAGGAUGUUUUCAUUAAUCAAGAACGAAAGUUAGGGGAUCGAAGACGAUCAGAUACCGUCGUAGUCUUAACCAUAAACUAUGCCGACUAGGGAUCGGACGAUGUUAAUUUUUUAAUGACUCGUUCGGCGCCUUACG
rnacentral:rRNA from 1 species